rnacentral:rRNA from 1 species
UACAGAGGGUGCGAGCGUUAAUCGGAAUCACUGGGCGUAAAGCGUGCGUAGACGGUUAUUUAAGUCGGGUGUGAAAGCCCCGGGCUCAACCUGGGAAUUGCAUUCGAGACUGAAUAGCUAGGGUACGGUAGAGGGAAGCGGAAUUUCCGGUGUAGCGGUGAAAUGCGUAGAUAUCGGAAGGAACAUCAGUGGCGAAAGCGGCUUCCUGGACCGGUACCGACGUUCAGGCACGAAAGCGUGGGGAGCAAACAGG